GGCUCUGUGGCCUAAUGGAUAAGGCGUCUGACUUCGAAUCAGAGGGUUGCAGGUUCGAGUCCUGCCAGGGUAG
rnacentral:tRNA from 1 species